AUGGAGGGGAGAAGCGCUCUCUGCUUCCUCGUCGUGCUCACCCUUCUAGCAGCAAGCCCCGCUCUUGCAGCAGAGAGGUGCGAGGAAGAGCACUUCUUCUCCCUGAUAUGCAUGGACUGGCUGUGCGCGCAGGAGUGCGCUAGCCAGAACCCGGACAUGAGGGUCAACGCGGCCUACUGCACCGCCAAGGGGGUUAAGCGCUAUUGCCACUGUACCAUGUGCUAUAAGUAA
rnacentral:rRNA from 1 species